rnacentral:rRNA from 1 species
CCUACGGGUGGCAGCAGUGAGGAAUAUUGGUCAAUGGGCGCGCGCCUGAACCAGCCAAGUAGCGUGAAGGAUGACUGCCCUACGGGUUGUAAACUUCUUUUAUAAAGGAAUAAAGUGAGGCACGUGUGCCUUGGUGUAUGUAAUUUAUGAAUAAGGAACGGCUAACUCCGUGCCAGCAGCCGCGGGAAUACGGGGGGACCGGGCGUUAUCCGGAUUUAUUGGGUUUAAAGGGAGCGUAGAUGGGUUGUUAAGUCAGUUGUGAAAGUUUGCGGCUCAACCAUAAAAUUGCCAUUGAUACUGGCAUCCUUGAGUACAGUUGAGGUAUGCGGAAUUCGUGGUGUAGCGGUGAAAUGCUUAGAUAUCACGAAGAACUCCGAUUGCGAAGGCAGCCUACUCAACUCCCACUGACAUUGAUGCUCGAAAGUGUGGGUAUCAAACAGGAUUAGAUACCCCAGUAGUC